rnacentral:rRNA from 1 species
GACAGAGGGUGCAAACGUUGUUCGGAAUUACUGGGCGUAAAGCGCGUGUAGGCGGCCCUGCAAGUCGGAUGUGAAAUCCCACGGCUCAACCGUGGAAGUGCAUUCGAAACUGCAGGGCUAGAGUCCUGGAGAGGAAGGUGGAAUGCUUGGUGGUAGAGGUGAAAUUCGUAGAUAUCAAGCGGAACACCGGUGGCGAAGGCGGCCUCUGGACAGUGACU